AUUGACGCUGAUGGACGAAAGCGUGGGUAGCGAACAGGAUUAGAUACCCUGGUAGUCCACGCCGUAAACGAUGGAUACUAGCUGUUGGAAGCAAUUUCAGUGGCUAAGCGAAAGUGAUAAGUAUCCCACCUGGGGAGUACGUUCGCAAGAAUGAAACUCAAAGGAAUUGACGGGGGCCCGCACAAGCGGUGGAGCAUGUGGUUUAAUUCGAUGAUACGCGAGGAACCUUACCAAGGCUUAAAUGUAGAUUGACCGUUUUGGAAACAGAACUUUCGCAAGACAAUUUACAAGGUGCUGCAUGGUUGUCGUCAGCUCGUGCCGUGAGGUGUCAGGUUAAGUCCUAUAACGAGCGCAACCCCUGUUGUUAGUUGCCAGCGAGUCAAGUCGGGAACUCUAACAAGACUGCCAGUGCAAA
rnacentral:rRNA from 1 species